GUCGUAACAAGGUUUCCGUAGGUGAACCUGCGGAAGGAUCAUUACCACACCGAUCCAACUGAUCGAACGCUGAGGAAUGUUAGGGCGCGACGCAGCAGCCGCAGACCGCGGCGGCGGCGGCGCGCACACACCUACUCACCCUUCGAAACCUGUCAUUGAACCAACCCAUCUGAAACCGAAAGUGCCAGCGUCGAUGCGCCGCCCUCGUGGCGCGCGUCCGCCGGAUCACAUUGACUACAUAAUGCGACACAACUUUCAGCAACGGAUAUCUUGGCUCUCGCAACGAUGAAGAACGCAGCGAAAUGCGAUACGUAGUGCGAAUUGCAGAAUUCAGUGAAUCAUCAAAACUUUGAACGCAUAUUGCGCUUCCGGGAUAUGCCUGGGAGCAUGCUUGUUGGAGUGUCUGUUCACCCCCCUCGCCUCCUCUGUGUUGGAUCACAGGUCCCUGCGGCGCUCAGCUCGCGGCGGGGACGGGGAGCUGCGGACUGUGGGCCGGUCGGCGCGCGCUGCCUCCAUGCGAGGCUGCGCGCGGCGUCGCCCGAAGUACAGAGACGACGGUGGUCGGUCUCCUCUGCGUGGGAGCUUUUGUAACCAAAAGACAAUCGCGGCGGCAGGCCGGCGCUGGAGCCGCGUCGAAAGAAACAGCCUUGCCACGGACGGUGCCUCGCGCAGCGUCGGUGCGCAUUCCUUUUGGACCUCCAAUCAAGUAAGAGGACCCGCUGGAUUUAAGCAUAUUACUAAGCGGAGGAAAGGAAACUAACCAGGAUUCCCUCAGUAACGGCGAGUGAAGCGGGAAGAGCUCAUGUUGGAAAUCUGCGUCGCCCUUGGCGGCGCCGAAUUGUAGUCUACAGAAGCAGUCGCCUGCCGCGGCCCCGAGACAAGUUGUCUUGGAACAGACCUCCAUAGAGGGUGAGAGGCCCGUCUAUGCUUGGGAGCCUGCGGCGUACGGCCUGCUUUCGACGAGUCGAGUUGCUUGGGAGUGCAGCUCAAAGCGGGUGGUAAAUUCCAUCUAAAGCUAAAUACCGGCGAGAGACCGAUAGCGAACAAGUACUGUGAAGGAAAGAUGCAAAGAACUUUGAAAAGAGAGUUAAAAAGUGCUUGAAAUUGCUGAGAGAGAGCUGCAUAGGAUCAGCGUUGAUGCCUAGGCACACACUGGGUGGCCUGCGGCCCCUUUUGUGUCUGGGCGUACUGGAGUAUGGGUUAGGGCCGCGGGACACGCUUGCUGUCGCGGCCCUGACCGAGGAACACCCCCUGCGGGAGCGAUACUCUCAAAAUGAUCCUCUGCAUCCCGUCUUGAAACACGGACCAAGGAGUCUAACAUAUGUGCGAGUAUUCGGGUGGCAAACCCUUGUGCGCAAUGAAAGUGAAGGGCCUUACACGCCCAAGGUAGGACGGCUCGUCUCGGCGGGUCCGCACUAUUGACCGAUCAUGAUCCUCUGGUGAAAGAUUUGAGUUUGAGCAUACAUGUUGGGACCCGAAAGAUGGUGAACUAUGCGUGA
rnacentral:rRNA from 1 species